rnacentral:rRNA from 1 species
AUGUGCGGCAACUAGGAGGAGUCGAUGUUUCAUUCUCUGGUGACAUGUGAUCACGCGAAGUUAUUUUGGAGAGAGGCAGAAACUUUCUUCGAGUUUAAGAUGCCACGGCUACACCCAGCUACGUGGUCGAGGGACUUGCUUGACCAUAGCUUCAUUGGGAAAGACCGAGCGGCCAUCAUUAUCUCAGUCAUGUGGACAAUCUGGUCAAGCAGGAACAAAUACACUCAUGAGGAGGUCAAAUAUCAGCCCGGGAGGUCGAUGGUCCUAGUGAAGGAACUCAUUCAAGCGAUGUACAUUCCAUCUGAAGCUGACGAGAGGAGGAGUCUCGCAAAGGAGAAAUGGAAGCCACUGAAAGAAGGAUGGUGUAAGAUCAACACAGACGCUGUUGUGGACGUGAAUGGGGGAUCAUCAGCGAUCGGGGUGGUGGCUUGGGACCAUGGCGGAGAGCUUAUGCUAGCCAGGGGCCGCAAGCUAUCAGGGGUGACUGACCCAUACUGCGCUAAGUUGCUAGGUGUCAGGGAAGCUAUGCGUCUGGCUAUGGAGAAGGGCUGUACGCGGGUGACCAUUGAAACAGACUGCAAAACUAUCAUAGAUGAGUACAUGGCAAUGGAGUGUAGGUCGACAGGAAGCCAGAUCAUCAUUGAUAUCAAGUCCUAUCACCAGAACUUUCAGGGGUUAUGA